GCCCAGCUAGCCCAGUUGCAAGAGCAUGAGACUCUUAAUCUCAGGGUCGUGGGUUUGGGCCUCAUAUUGGGUG
rnacentral:tRNA from 1 species